rnacentral:rRNA from 1 species
UACGUAGGGACCAAGCGUUGUUCGGAUUUACUGGGCGUAAAGGGCGCGUAGGCGGCAAAUUAAGUCAGCUGUGAAAUCCCCGGGCUUAACCUGGGAACUGCAUUUGUGACUGCAUCGCUGGAGUGCGGCAGAGGGGGAUGGAAUUCCGCGUGUAGCAGUGAAAUGCGUAGAUAUGCGGAGGAACACCGAUGGCGAAGGCAAUCCCCUGGGCCUGCACUGACGCUCAUGCACGAAAGCGUGGGGAGCAAACAGG